GACGAACGCUGGCGGCGUGCUUAACACAUGCAAGUCGAACGGAAAGACCCUGCUUUUGUGGGGUGCUCGAGUGGCGAACGGGUGAGUAACACGUGAGUAACCUGCCCUUGACUUUGGGAUAACUUCAGGAAACUGGGGCUAAUACCGGAUAGGAGCUCCUGCUGCAUGGUGGGGGUUGGAAAGUUUCGGCGGUUGGGGAUGGACUCGCGGCUUAUCAGCUUGUUGGUGGGGUAGUGGCUUACCAAGGCUUUGACGGGUAGCCGGCCUGAGAGGGUGACCGGCCACAUUGGGACUGAGAUACGGCCCAGACUCCUACGGGAGGCGGCAGUGGGGAAUAUUGCCCAAUGGGCGGAAGCCUGAUGCAGCAACGCCGCGUGCGGGAUGACGGCCUUCGGGUUGUAAACCGCUUUCGCCUGUGACGAAGCGUGAGUGACGGUAAUGGGUAAAGAAGCACCGGCUAACUACG
rnacentral:rRNA from 1 species